GCCCGCCUAGCUCAAUCGGAUAGAGCGUCAGACUUUUAAGACCGUCUGAGAUUCUUAGGCACUUAGGGCAUCUGAAGGCUGCGAGUUCGACCCUCGCGGUGGGCU